UACAGAGGUGGCAAGCGUUGUUCGGAAUUACUGGGCGUAAAGGGCGCGUAGGCGGUCUUUUAAGUCUUGUGUGAAAUCCCUCGGCUCAACUGAGGAACUGCACGGGAUACUGGAAGACUUGAGUUCGGGAGAGGGAAGCGGAAUUCCGGGUGUAGCGGUGAAAUGCGUAAAUAUCCGGAGGAACACCGGUGGCGAAGGCGGCUUCCUGGACCGAUUACUGACGCUGAGGCGCGAAAGCUAGGGGAGCAAACGGG
rnacentral:rRNA from 1 species